rnacentral:rRNA from 1 species
GACGAACGCUGGCGGCGUGCUUAACACAUGCAAGUCGAGCGGUAAGGCCUUUCGGGGUACACGAGCGGCGAACGGGUGAGUAACACGUGGGUGAUCUGCCCUGCACUUCGGGAUAAGCCUGGGAAACUGGGUCUAAUACCGGAUAUGACCUCCUAUCGCAUGGUGGGUGGUGGAAAGAUUUAUCGGUGCAGGAUGGGCCCGCGGCCUAUCAGCUUGUUGGUGGGGUAAUGGCCUACCAAGGCGACGACGGGUAGCCGACCUGAGAGGGUGACCGGCCACACUGGGACUGAGACACGGCCCAGACUCCUACGGGAGGCAGCAGUGGGGAAUAUUGCACAAUGGGCGAAAGCCUGAUGCAGCGACGCCGCGUGAGGGAUGACGGCCUUCGGGUUGUAAACCCCUUUCAGCAGGGACGAAGCGCAAGUGACGGUACCUGCAGAAGAAGCACCGGCUAACUACGUG